rnacentral:lncRNA from 1 species
GUAAAUACUUAGAGGAGGAAACAUUGUUCUGCACCCGGGAAGGAGAUCGCACUUGAGGAAAGGAAAACAGCGAGCAGCGGGGCAAGGAAGGUGGGGAAGAGUGGAGAGGAGAGGAAAGGAGAUGCGGAGAGGCGCCGGCCGCGCGGGCUCAGCUCCAGGCCCAAGCCCUGCACCCUGGGCGCCCGCCCCGCCCGGGCCAGCCCAGCGCGGCGCGGUCCGGUUCUGCGGGACCGGCGGCUCCAUCUCCUUCUGGCCUCGCGCUUUGGACGAAAGAUAGAAGACGGUAAGCCAGACUCGGUUUUCUCCACAAGAUCAUCAACACAUUUGGCCCGUUACCCGUUCCUGCAAGGGGCGCGUGCCCGUUAUCGCUGUCAGCGCCAG